GUACUAUCCAGAUUGGAACAGAUUUACCCCAGAAGGUAUUGAAUACAAGUUCCAAAUCACUCUCAAAAUCCUAGUGACUGUUAACAUUCAUGUUUUUUUUGUCUGUGUGUUUCAGUAGUUGCAUGUCAGUUUGAAUGGUUCAUUGAGAGUGAGGAACCUAUGGACUCACACACACCAUCAUGGAAUUUAAUUCAAAGAGUGACUCCUCUUCAAAGUACUUAGUCGCUUUUAAAAUCUUGACCAUUUCUGCUGUCUAGUUGAACAAGUGUAGCUGAAUACUGCUUCAAUAGGAAUUAGUGUUUAAUAGGAACAUAUUUGUGAAACUUACAGUUCCUCAAGCUUUAGCAUAAACUGGUGGAGACUUUCGGCGCUUGCAAAAAGGCUCACCUCUCUUAAUACUGAAGGAAAAUUGGAGUUUAAAAAUGCGGAUAAAGUUCUCCAAGCUGACAGAAAUUGAAAGCACUCGCAUCCUGUGACGAUGGGGUAGGAGUGGAAGAAUCAGAGUGUUUCUUUGAAAAUUGGCUUGAUGUGUCUGUCCAAGGGUCAUCUGGAGGAAAAAAUACAAGUGUUGAACUCCAUCUGCCACCUCUCAGCCCAUCUGCAGCGAGCAGCAGCGGAGGCAAGACGGACCCGGAAGACUGCAGCUAAGGUAAAGCAGUUUAUUUUUAAAAUUACUUACCGGUAGCGGGCAGCGGUGUUUUUUUUUCCUCUCAGACAAGGAGUGGGAGCAGCAGAGGAAGUGACGAGGACCAGAGGGGCAGCCGGGAAGGAAAGCAGUGACCAUAUAUAUCAGAGAUAAU